rnacentral:rRNA from 1 species
CAGCACCUCAAGUGGUCAGGAUGAUUAUUGGGCCUAAAGCAUCCGUAGCCGGCGCUGUAAGUUUUCGGUUAAAUCUGUACGCUCAACGUACAGGCUGCCGGGAAUACUGCAGCGCUAGGGAGUGGGAGAGGUAGACGGUACUCGGUAGGAAGGGGUAAAAUCCUUUGAUCUAUUGAUGACCACCUGUGGCGAAGGCGGUCUACCAGAACACGUCCGACGGUGAGGGAUGAAAGCUAGGGGAGCGAACCGGAUUAGAUACCCGAGUAGUCC